rnacentral:rRNA from 1 species
UACGGAGGGAGCUAGCGUUGUUCGGAAUUACUGGGCGUAAAGCGCACGUAGGCGGCUUUGUAAGUUAGAGGUGAAAGCCUGGGGCUCAACUCCAGAACUGCCUUUAAAACUGCAUCGCUUGAAUCCAGGAGAGGUGAGUGGAAUUCCGAGUGUAGAGGUGAAAUUCGUAAAUAUUCGGAAGAACACCAGUGGCGAAGGCGGCUCACUGGACUGGUAUUGACGCUGAGGUGCGAAAGCGUGGGGAGCAAACAGG